UACGUAGGGGGCGAGCGUUGUCCGGAUUCAUUGGGCGUAAAGCGCGGGCAGGCGGCCCGCUCAGUCGGCCGUGAAAGCGCCGGGCUCAACUCGGCGAGGUCGGGCGAUACUGGCGGGCUCGAGGCUGGUAGAGGGCGGUGGAAUUCCGGGUGUAGUGGUGGAAUGCGUAGAGCUCCGGAGGAACACCAGUGGCGAAGGCGGCCGCCUGGGCCAGUCCUGACGCUGAGCCGCGAAAGCGUGGGGAGCGAGCCGG
rnacentral:rRNA from 1 species